GACGAACGCUGGCGGCGUGCUUAACACAUGCAAGUCGAACGGUGAAAGGGAGCUUGCUCCCUGGAUCAGUGGCGAACGGGUGAGUAACACGUGGGCAACCUGCCCCAGACUUCGGGAUAACGCUUCGAAAGGAGUGCUAAUACCGGAUACGAACUCCUUGGGCAUCCUUGGGGUUGGAAAGUUUUUCGGUCUGGGAUGGGCCCGCGGCCUAUCAGCUUGUUGGUGAGGUAACGGCUCACCAAGGCGACGACGGGUAGCCGGCCUGAGAGGGCGACCGGCCACACUGGGACUGAGACACGGCCCAGACUCCUACGGGAGGCAGCAGUGGGGAAUAUUGCGCAAUGGGCGAAAGCCUGACGCAGCAACGCCGCGUGAGGGAUGACGGCCUUCGGGUUGUAAACCUCUUUCAGCAGGGAAGAAGCGAAAGUGACGAUACCUGCAGAAGAAGCACCGGCUAACUACGUGCCAGCAGCCGCCGUAA
rnacentral:rRNA from 1 species